UGAACGCUGGCGGCGUGCCUAAUACAUGCACGUCGAGCGAACGGACGAGAAGCUUGCUUUUCUGAUGUUAGCGGCGGACGGGUGAGUAACACGUGGAUAACCUACCUAUAAGACUGGGAUAACUUCGGGAAACCGGAGCUAAUACCGGAUAAUAUUUUGAACCGCAUGGUUCAAAAGUGAAAGACGGUCUUGCUGUCACUUAUAGAUGGAUCCGCGCUGCAUUAGCUAGUUGGUAAGGUAACGGCUUACCAAGGCAACGAUGCAUAGCCGACCUGAGAGGGUGAUCGGCCACACUGGAACUGAGACACGGUCCAGACUCCUACGGGAGGCAGCAGUAGGGAAUCUUCCGCAAUGGGCGAAAGCCUGACGGAGCAACGCCGCGUGAGUGAUGAAGGUCUUCGGAUCGUAAAACUCUGUUAUUAGGGAAGAACAUAUGUGUAAGUAACUGUGCACAUCUUGACGGUACCUAAUCAGAAAGCCACGGCUAACUACGUG
rnacentral:rRNA from 1 species